rnacentral:rRNA from 1 species
UACGUAGGGGGGCUAGCGUUGUCCGGAAUCAUUGGGCGUAAAGCGCGCGUAGGCGGCCCGAUAAGUCUGCUGUGAAAGUCCAGGGCUCAACCCUGGAAUGCCGGGUGGAUACUGUCGGGCUAGAGUUCGGAAGAGGCAAGUGGAAUUCCUGGUGUAGCGGUGGAAUGCGCAGAUAUCAGGAGGAACACCUAUAGCGAAGGCAGCUUGCUGGGACGACACUGGCGCUGAGGCGCGAAAGCGUGGGGAGCGAACAGG